UACAGAGGGUGCGAGCGUUAAUCGGAAUUACUGGGCGUAAAGCGCGCGUAGGCGGCUUUUCAAGUCGAUUGUGAAAUCCCCGGGCUUAACCUGGGAACUGCAGUCGAGACUGUCUAGCUAGAGUAUGGGAGAGGGAAGUGGAAUUUCAGGUGUAGCGGUGAAAUGCGUAGAUAUCUGAAGGAACAUCAGUGGCGAAAGCGACUUCCUGGACCAAUGCUGACGCUCAUGUGCGAAAGCGUGGGGAGCAACAGG
rnacentral:rRNA from 1 species